rnacentral:rRNA from 1 species
UACAGAGGUCUCAAGCGUUGUUCGGAUUCAUUGGGCGUAAAGAGCUCGUAGGCGGUCUGUCGCGUCUGCUGUGAAAACUCAGGGCUUAACCCUGAGCUUGCAGUGGGUACGGGCAGACUAGAGUGCGGUAGGGGAGACUGGAAUUCCUGGUGUAGCGGUGAAAUGCGCAGAUAUCAGGAGGAACACCGGUGGCGAAGGCGGGUCUCUGGGCCGUAACUGACGCUGAGGAGCGAAAGCGUGGGGAGCAAACAGG